rfam:Dipodomys ordii contig_52323, whole genome shotgun sequence.
GGGUAUGUGGCUUAGUGGUAGAGUGCUUGCCUAGCAUGCAUGAAACUCUGGGUUCAAUUCCGCAGAACCA